GGGGAUUUAGCUCAGUGGUAGAGUGCUUGCCUGGCAAGUGCAAGGCCCUGGGUUCAGUCCCCA
rnacentral:tRNA from 1 species